rnacentral:rRNA from 1 species
UACGUAGGGGGCAAGCGUUGUCCGGAUUUAUUGGGUUUAAAGGGUGCGUAGGCGGUCCUAUAAGUCAGUGCUGAAAUAUCCCGGCUUAACCGGGAGGGUGGCAUUGAUACUGCAGGACUUGAGUAAAGUUGAGGUAGGCGGAAUUGACGGUGUAGCGGUGAAAUGCUUAGAUAUCGUCAAGAACACCGAUAGUGAAGACAGCUUACUAAACUUUAACUGACGCUGAGGCACGAAAGUGUGGGGAUCAAACAGG